UAAUGCUGAAGUUCUGGCCACAUGUAAGAAGAGGAAACGUCCCUUCCACUGCUAUGAAGACACAGCCCCAGUGAGAUCUAGUGACACUGCCACAGUCACACUGCAGCUGGAGCUGGGUAUUCAAGCAAGCCUGUACGACACAAAGGCCCAUGUGCCCAACCCCUGAGCUACCCUGCAGUGAAGUGCAGAAUAGGUAAGCCACACAGAAGCAGCUACAUUUUUCAAGUUGAGGAAUGGUGAGUGGAAAUUCUCCUCUAAGGCAAUCCAGUGCACUUUAGGGGAAAAAAAACUUGGUCAUGUUAAAGGAUUCCUUGAUUUCUCACUGCUCUGGAGGUCCCUCAACUGCUCCAGCUACCUUUCUGCGAAGGAGAAUGAAGGCUGACUUCAAUGUACCAUCCCCAUUCUGUUGGGAAAAGCAAAGGAAGGUGGCCCAGAGGAAACCAC